rnacentral:rRNA from 2 species
GAAACCUCGGUGGAAGAUAACUAAUGAGAGUGGCGAACGGGUGAGUAACGCGUGAGCAACCUGCCUAUGACAGUGGGAUAGCCUCGGGAAACCGGGAUUAAUACCACAUAAAAUCGUAGAAACACAUGUUUUAACGGUCAAAGAUUUAUCGGUCAUAGAUGGGCUCGCGUCUGAUUAGCUAGUUGGUGAGAUAACAGCCCACCAAGGCGACGAUCAGUAGCCGGUCUGAGAGGAUGAACGGCCACAUUGGAACUGAGACACGGUCCAAACUCCUACGGGAGGCAGCAGUGGGGAAUAUUGCACAAUGGGGGAAACCCUGAUGCAGCGACGCCGCGUGAACGAAGAAGGUAUUCGUAUCGUAAAGUUCUGUCCUAUGGGAAGAUAAUGACAGUACCAUAGAAGAAAGCUCCGGCUAAAUACGUGCCAGCAGCCGCGGUAAUACGUAUGGAGCGAGCGUUGUCCGGAAUUAUUGGGCGUAAAGGGUACGCAGGCGGUUUAAUAAGUCGAAUGUUAAAGAUCGGGGCUCAACCCCGUAAAGCAUUGGAAACUGAUAAACUUGAGUAGUGGAGAGGAAAGUGGAAUUCCUAGUGUAGUGGUGAAAUACGUAGAUAUUAGGAGGAAUACCAGUAGCGAAGGCGACUUUCUGGACACAAACUGACGCUGAGGUACGAAAGCGUGGGGAGCAUACAGGAUUAGAUACCCUGGUAGUCCACGCCGUAAACGAUGAAUGCUAGGUGUUGGGGGUCAAACCUCGG